rnacentral:rRNA from 1 species
GCCUAACACAUGCAAGUCGAGCGGCAGCACAAGUGAGUUUACUUAUGAGGUGGCGAGCGGCGGACGGGUGAGUAAUGCCUAGUGGAUCUGCCCAGUCGAGGGGGAUAACAGUUGGAAACGACUGCUAAUACCGCAUACGCCCUACGGGGGAAAGGAGGGGACCUUCGGGCCUUCCGCGAUUGGAUGAACCUAGGUGGGAUUAGCUAGUUGGUGAGGUAAUGGCUCACCAAGGCGACGAUCCCUAGCUGUUCUGAGAGGAUGAUCAGCCACACUGGGACUGAGACACGGCCCAGACUCCUACGGGAGGCAGCAGUGGGGAAUAUUGCACAAUGGGGGAAACCCUGAUGCAGCCAUGCCGCGUGUGUGAAGAAGGCCUUCGGGUUGUAAAGCACUUUCAGUAGGGAGGAAAGGGUGAGUCUUAAUACGGCUCAUCUGUGACGUUACCUACAGAAGAAGGACCGGCUAACUCCGUGCCAGCAGCCGCGGUAAUACGGAGGGUCCGAGCGUUAAUCGGAAUUACUGGGCGUAAAGCGUGCGCAGUGCGGUUUGUUAAGCGAGAUGUGAAAGCCCUGGGCUCAACCUAGGAAUAGCAUUCGAAACUGGCGAACUAAAAGUCUUGUACGAGGGGGGUAGAAUU